rnacentral:misc_RNA from 1 species
GAUGAAGAACGCAGCGAAAUGCGAUAAGUAGUGUGAAUUGCAGAAUUCAGUGAAUCAUCGAAUCUUUGAACGCACAUUGCGCCCGCUGGAACUCCGGCGGGCACGCCUGUCCGAGCGUCAUUUCAACCCUCAGGCCCCCCUUCGCGGGCGGGCCUGGUGUUGGGGCCCGGCCGCUACCCUGCGGCCGUCCCCUAAAUUCAGUGGCGGCCUCGCCGUGAUCCCUUGCGUAGUAAUGCACCUCGCACCGGAGAGCGCCGUGGCCACGCCGUAAAACCCCCAAUUUUCAAUGGUUGACCUCGGAUCAGGUGGGAAUACCCGCUGAACUUAAGCAUAUCAAUAAGCGGAGGA